UUCACUCCAUGUUACCGUUGCAGCCUCCAUCGCUCUCCUUCUUCACCACCGACGAUGCUACCGCUGUAGUUACCGGAGCGAGCCAUUGAGACCGUCGCUGCUUCAUUGAGAACCGCCGCCAUAAUCUCCUCUGCCACCUCCGGUGAAGUCAUGAACGGAUGGAGAAGCCCCACCAAGAAUGAAGGCGGAGCUGUGACCGGCGGACGCGAGUCGUGUGCAGUUGGGAUGCUCUCGGAAUCAGGAGAACCGCUGCCACCACCGUGAGGUGGUGGCUAUCGCUGCAAAAUCCGCCGCCUGCCGCCACUCCUUCCACUUUCCGGCGUCGCUGCCAUCGUGAACAGUUGCUGUUGCCGUCGUGAGCCAUCGGAUGGGUGGCUGGAGUUGUUUUGUGACCAUAUAGCGGGUGUGUAUGCAUGUAUUUCUGGUAGUGCGUGUUUAGUCUAGCCGGAAAUUGCAAGGAAGCCACCGUCACCACCGUGAGGUGGUGGUUGCCGCCAUGAACCACCGUGUGUGGGUGUGUGUCUUAGUGUAUGUGUGUGUGUUUAUUAGCGGGUGUGAAUUAUCGAGUUGUACAUUGUAAUGGUGCCAAAAAAAUAAUAAAAGAAACCCCAACCACCAUCGUAUGAUGGUGGCUGCCGUCACCGGUCGCCGUGUCGGGUGGCGGUGUGCUUGCCUCGUUGAGUUUGAUUCGUUUAGGGUGCUUGAAACCCUAAUGGGCCUUGUAAGCCCUAAUGGGCCCAAUGAGACUUAAUGGGCUUAAUAAACCCUUAUGAGCUUAAUGAUAUUCAAGUGGGCCUAGUAGACACAAUAAAGCCCUAAUUGACCUAAAAUCCCAACAAAUUGAUAAAUGGGCUAAUAAUUAGGGUUUGGAAAACCCUAAUGCCUAUAAAACCCUAAUUUUGAGAGUUAUCGGGACACACGAGAAUUAUUUAAUAACUUGAAAUAUUAAAUAAGAAUCAUUGGUGGAAAUUAAUCUAAGCAAUAUUGGACUUAACGGAUUAAGUCCUUAAUGGGUUAAGUAGGAAACUUAACCCUAAUCAUCAUUUUAUGUGAAACCCUGUAACAUCCGGAUAUCCAGGUAUGGGAAUUUGAGUAUUUUUAUAUUGGGGAAAUGAGGAGACUCGGCGAGUUGACGCCUCAACUCGUCGAGUAGGAUCGCGUUUUGGGGACCAGUUUAAUGAAGGGACUCGACGAGUCAGGUAUUUGGACUCGCCGAGUCGGCGCUGUCAAGGAAAACCAUAAUUGUCCGGGUUUGGGACCUAUUUAAAGGCCCUUAUGGCCUUCAGUGGCGGCCACCUACACCCUUGAGAGACUCCUAUCGAACCAGAGAGCUAAGAGAGUAAAGAAGAGCCAUUUUGGAGCAUUUUUGAGGUGGUUGUGCAAUGGAGUAGUCAUUUCCAGCAAAGGGAGGUCAAGGGGGUGUCGAUUCAGAGCUUUUGAGCUUGCAUCUUCACCAUAGAGGUAUCAAAUCGUUCUCCCUUUUCUGUUUUGGGUAAGAUUGGUGAUUUUAGGGUUUUCUAGCUUCUUUUAUGGCUUAAUUUGUGGAGUAUAGUGUCCCAUUGAGUGUGAAGCCAUAGAUCUGGACCCAAAGAGGUCCAGAGAGUCUCUUCCAUCCUGCUUUAUGCAUUCUAUUUGGAGUUUUGAGCUAGGGUUGUUAUGUAAUGAAGGGUUUCACCCAAAUGAGCUUGUAGAACCUUGCAUGAGUGCCCAAGGUUCGACCUUUUCGUGGUUAUUGGCUUUGAGGGAGUUAGAUCUAUGGUUUGGUGAAGCAGAUCUGACCUCAGAAGGUCAGAUGAGGGUUGUCAUGGGAGCAACUCGCCUAGUCCAUAGGCAGACUCGACGAGUCGAGUCGGGGUUGCCCCGCGUUUCGUUGCCGAGUAACUCGACGAGUAGAGAGGGAACUCGUCGUGUCUAAGAGGUUAAAAAGAAUUUAGAGAACCUGCAUGGACUCGCCGAGUCACUCUUGUGUACUCACCGAGUCUGGUCAGUGUUGACCGUUGACUUGAGUUGUCUUAUGUUGACUUUGGGAGUUUUGGUCAAUAGAGGUAAUAAAGGUCAGGGAGGGGUAAAAUGGUCUUUUACCCGUUACCUGACUAGAGAGGGAAAGAGUAAUCGCCGGUUAAUUAGAGUUGGGACUUCGAGUAUUAAUUAGAGAUAUUUGCCUUAUGUGUUAGGCGGUGGCGAGCCCGAGGUCCGCAUGUGUAGAUAAUUGCUUUCUGAUUUCCAGGUGAGUCUUCUCACUAUACUUUACCUUGAGUAGGUAACUAGAGUUAUGUGUCAGAGUAUUUGUAUGCUAUGUGUUGUACUGCAUUAUUUCUAUGUGAUUUAUGUUGUGCAUGUUUACAGAGUUAGAACCGGAAGGUUCCCAGAGUUAGAACCGGAAGGUUCAUAGAGUUAGAACCAGAGGGUUCAUAGAGUAGGGUCCACGGACCCAUAAAGUUAUAGCCUCGAGUGGCUAAUAUGUGUUAUGUGUGGUAUUUUGGGGAACUCACUAAGCUUCGUUCUUACAGUGUUUUAUGUUAUGUGUUUCAGGUUUCUCUCAGGAUCACGGGACGACACCGGCUCGAUUGUACACACCAGAGAAAGAGUCAUGUUUUGAGGAUCAUGGUUUAUUAUGCAAGUGAAAAUGGAGUUCUGUUUUGUAAUUCGAUUAUGAAUGAGAUUUUAAGCAAAGUGUUUUUAAGAAUUAAACGAUUAUU